AAUCAACGCUGGCGGCGUGCCUCAGACAUGCAAGUCGAACGAUUAAGACUUCCUUCGGGAAGUGCAUAAAGUGGCGCACGGGUGAGUAACACGUAAGUAAUCUACCCUCGAGUGGGGAAUAACGUUCGGAAACGGACGCUAAUACCGCAUAACGCAGCGGCACCGCAAGGUGACAGUUGUUAAAGGAGCAAUCCGCUUGAGGAGGAGCUUGCGGCAGAUUAGCUAGUUGGUAGGGUAAUGGCUUACCAAGGCUACGAUCUGUAUCCGGUCUAAGAGGACGGUCGGACACACUGACACUGAAUAACGGGUCAGACUCCUACGGGAGGCAGCAGUCGGGAAUUUUGGGCAAUGGGCGAAAGCCUGACCCAGCAACGCCGCGUGAAGGAUGAAGUAUUUCGGUAUGUAAACUUCGAAAGAAUAGGAAGAAUAAAUGACGGUACUAUUUAUAAGCUCCGGCUAACUACGUGCCAGCAGCCGCGGUAAU
rnacentral:rRNA from 1 species